GUUCACCAUUAAUACAAAUAGAGUGAUGAGGAUUUCAAAAUGCCUAAGCAACGUCCAACCUGCCUUAUUCUAUAAUUUAGGGAAUUCACUUUAAGUACACCCCAUGUAAGAAAUGUAUCGCAUAUGUUUUCAACCGCUGAGAGGUAGCGCUGAUGUCGUACUGGAUUUGUAUAAGGGCGCACUCACACUAGGCCAUCUGUACCUUGCCCAAUUCCGUUUCACACCUCUACCGUGCUCAAGUCUAGAUCGUUUGGCUAGUGUGAGCACGCCAACCGUACUCAAGUCCACACCCAUUCCGUGGCCUGAGCACACUUGGGAGAGGUGUGCUCUCAGGCCACGGUACAGAUGUUAAUGAGCCGACACGCGCAUGGCUACGGAGAAGGGUCCAGCUGCAGGCUUGGGCGUUCCCGUCAUGACACAAAAACGCCCAUCGGGCGUUCCCGUCAUGACACAAAAACGUCCAUCAGGCGUUCCUGUAGCGUUUCAUCGAUCAAUCAAGAAGAGUACCCUGGCACAUGCUUUGUCCAAUGGACCAUGGAAGGGACUUUACUUGGCUGACGAGUACGCAAUGUAUUCUACCCUCAAAAGCAAUAUGAUUUCAGUGAGGGGGACAUGCUCUCUAUCGGGAGGUGGUGGUUGGACAGCUGUUGGAGACCUUUAUGCUUGAAAGCCCUGCAGAACUAGCUGGCUCCUUCUCACCCUCUCCAUCUCCCCAUCUCAGUCACACCUUCCAAUCACUAAGCAGUGAAAGCCCUGCAGGACUAGCUGGCACACCAAGCUCACCCUCUCCAUCUCCCCAUCUCAGCCACACGCUCCAAUCUGGCACAACAGAGGACAGGCCAUUCUUACCACCCGAAGUCCUUCAGCAAAUUGUACAAGAGACGCUGAGACUGGACUUGGCGAUGCUUGGCGUGUUCAACAGGGUUUGAAACACAUUCCGAGAACUAAUCAAGCCUCUCCAUCCUUCCAUAUAUAUAAAUGACAGUUUGGCAGGGGACAUUAAGCUUAAUAAAGACAAUCUCAUAUACAUAACGGUUAGAAAGAUUUACAACAAUGCAGGCUGUGGCAGUGGCCUUGCGCUACGCCUCAAAGGCUUCUUAAAAAAAGAAGAAUUGGCCAAGCGCACCCCUGGUACUGAGGCACGUUGCAUAUGGCAGAUUUGUCAUAAAAGAUGUCUGCCUAGCAUAAUGUUCUUUUAUCACUACUUUUUCGUUUUAUUGGGGCCGUCUUUUUUUGCAAUCCCUAUCAUUUGUAAAUGUACAUACUACUGUAGCAAAUGUAUCUAGCCAGAAAUGCUGGUAUUUUAUUACUCCUUUCUUUUUUGUUUUUGUGACAAAUGCUAUACGAUGUAUAACAUACAUUUGUGCCUACGAUGUAUGUUGUAAGGUUAAUUGUUACAGAGCAAUUACUGUAUUUUGUCUUUAUUGAAAACAUUCAGUGGGAAAAGUAAGUGAACAGUUGGAGUCAAAUGGCCUACUGUUUGAGCCUUCAUAGUGUCUGGUAACUGGAUUUGAACUGCAUAAUGUCCCAAGUGUUAUUUUAAUCUAGUCAUAAUUUAAUUUGGGCAUAUUCUUAAACAACUAUAUCAAACAUCUCACUUAUACCUAAUACCCUACCUAUACUAACCCAGAAGAUAAUGAACAUGAGAUCAUGGAGCCUCCCUGUAAUGAUCGUGUUGCAUCAAGUUUGAUGCAAAGUUUGGGCCGAGAUCCGACACAUAAAUGCAAGCUAACAUUCUGUAGGCCUAGCUGGCUAACGUACCCGUAUUACGAGAUCGAAGAAGGGGGCG